GUAGGGUCCAAGCGUUAAUCGGAAUUACUGGGCGUAAAGCGUGCGCAGGCGGUUGUGCAAGACCGAUGUGAAAUCCCCGGGGCUUAACCAGGGAAUUGCAUUGGUGACUGCACGGCUAGAGUGUGUCAGAGGGGGGUAGAAUUCCACGUGUAGCAGUGAAAUGCGUAGAGAUGUGGAGGAAUACCGAUGGCGAAGGCAGCCCCCUGGGAUAACACUGACGCCCAUGCACGAAAGCGUGGGGAGCAAACAGGAUUAGAUACCCUGGUAGUCCACGCCCUAAACGAUGUCAACUAGUUGUUGGGGAUUCAUUUCCUUAGUAACGUAGCUAACGCGUGAAGUUGACCGCCUGGGGAGUACGGUCGCAAGAUUA
rnacentral:rRNA from 1 species